GACGAACGCUGGCGGCAGGCCUAACACAUGCAAGUCGAACGAGUGGCGGACGGGUGAGUAAUGUCUGGGAAACUGCCUGAUGGAGGGGGAUAACUACUGGAAACGGUAGCUAAUACCGCAUACCCUCAGAUGUGCCCAGAUGGGAUGAGCUAGUUGGUGGGGUAACGGCUCACCAAGGCGACGAUCCCUAGCUGGUCUGAGAGGAUGACCAGCCAUGCUGGAACUGGGACACGUUCCAGACUCCUACGGGGGGCAGCAGUGGGGAAGAUUGCACAAUGUGCGCAAGCCUGAUGCAGCCAGGCCGCGUGUAUGAAGAAGGCCUUCGGGUUGUAAAGUACUUUCAUCGGGGAUGCGUUACCCGCAGAAGAAGCACCGGCUAACUCCGUGCCAGCAGCCGCGGUAAUAC
rnacentral:rRNA from 1 species